CGACUCUCGGCAACGGAUAUCUUGGCUCACGCAUCGAUGAAGAACGUAGCAAAAUGCGAUACUUGGUGUGAAUUGCAGAAUCCCGUGAACCAUCGAGUUUUUGAACGCAAGUUGCGCCCAAGGCCUUUUGGUUGAGGGCACGU
rnacentral:rRNA from 1 species